UACGUAGGGGGCUAGCGUUGUCCGGAUUUAUUGGGCGUAAAGAGCGUGUAGGCGGCCAGGUAGGUCUGCUGUGAAAACUCGAGGCUCAACCUCGAGAUGUCGGCGGAAACCAUCUGGCUAGAGUCCGGAAGAGGAAAGUGGAAUUCCUGGUGUAGCGGUGAAAUGCGCAGAUAUCAGGAAGAACACCCGUGGCGAAGGCGGCUUUUCUGGGGCAUGUUCUGACGCUGAGGAGCGAAAGUGUGGGGAGCGAAACAGG
rnacentral:rRNA from 1 species